GAUUGCAGGCUGNAACCCGCCUGCAUGAAGUCGGAAUUGCUAGUAAUCGCGGAUCAGCAUGCCGCGGUGAAUACGUUCCCGGGCCUUGUACACACCGCCCGUCACACCAUGGGAGCCGGUAAUACCCGAAGUCAGUAGUCCAACCACGUGAGGACGCUGCCGAAGGUAGGAUUGGCGACUGGGGUGAAGUCGUAACAAGGUACC
rnacentral:rRNA from 1 species